GUCUAGAGUAGUUUCGAGUCCUGCGCACGGACGAACGCUGGCGGCGUAGCUAACACAUGCAAGUCGAGCGUAGGCCUUCGGGUACACGAGCGGCGAACGGUGAGUACACGUGAGCACCUGCCCCCGACUCUGGGAGUAAGCGGCGGAAACGCCGUCCGUAAUACCGGAUACGACCCGCCACCUCGAUGGUGUGCGAGUGGAAAGUCUUUUCGGUUGGGGAUGGGCUCGCGGCCUAUCGAGCUUGUUGUGGGGUAAAGGCCUACCAAGGCGAUUACGGGUAGCCGGCCUGAGAGGGCGACCGGCCACACUGGGACUGAGACACGGCCCAGACUCCUGCGGGAGGCAGCAGUGGGGAAUAUUGCACAAUGGGCGAAAGCCUGAUGCAGCGACGCCGCGUGGGGGAUGACGGCCUUCGGGUUGUAAACCUCUUUUACCACUAACGCGGAGGCUCCACGUUCUCGUGGGGUUGACGGUAGGUGGGGAAUAAGGACCGGCUAACUACGUG
rnacentral:rRNA from 1 species